CAGCAGCCGCGGGAAUACAGAGGAUGCAAGCGUUAUCCAGAAUGAUUGGGCGUAAAGCGUCUGUAGGUGGCUUUUCAAGUCCGCUGUCAAAUCCCAGGGCUCAACCCUGGACAGGCGGUGGAAACUACCAAGCUAGAGUACGGUAGGGGCAGAGGGAAUUUCCAGUGGAGCGGUGAAAUGCGUUGAGAUCGGAAAGAACACCAACGGCGAAAGCACUCUGCUGGGCCGACACUGACACUGAGAGACGAAAGCUAGGGGAGCAAAUGGGAUUAGAUACCCCUGUAGUCCCUGUCUCUUAUAC
rnacentral:rRNA from 1 species